rnacentral:pre_miRNA from 1 species
CACAAGUAGAUGAAGCUGCCAGCAUGAUCUGAAAGCUAGCUAUGUUGCAUGUUGAUCUUGAUGGUCAUCUCCAUCAAGAUUGAAGACCAUGGGCAUGGCUGCAAUCAGGUCAUGUGGCAGCUUCAUUUUCUCAUGG